UAAAAGUCGUAACAAGGUUUCCGUAGGUGAACCUGCGGAAGGAUCAUUAGUGAAGCUUGCUAAUCUGACGGCAAGUUGUGAGCUGUCGAGAUGUGUGUUUAGUAUUGUGAAUGGAUUUUGAACAGUCGAGGCUAGCCUCGCAAGUAUAUCGACAGGUAUUGUCGAUUGAUGGUGGACCAACUAGCUGGUGGGUCGAUGAAGGACACAGCUAGCUGUGCGAAAGAAUGUGAAUUGCAGGACACAUGAGCAUCGACACUUUGAACGCAUAUUGCGGGUGAAUGGAUUCCAUUCACCCAGUCAUGGAUCAAGGCCGGUUAACAACUGGAAAGCUAGAAGGCUUCGUGUAUCUGACUGCUUGUCAGAGCGUUGCCGCUUAAUCGAGAAAAGCUGUCUGGUUCCCGUCGAGUUAAAGCCAUUCAGUCGUGAGAGAAGCACGGCAGGCAUGAAUGGUUGACGGGAGAUAAAAGCCUGAUAGCGUGGUGAGCAGGGAUCGAAACGGAAACGACCCCUAACCUGACACAUCCAUAUAACCGCGGCUUGAUCUCAUGACAGGCUACCCGCUGAAUUUAAGCAUAUCAAUA
rnacentral:rRNA from 1 species